CAAAUUAUCAGUUGUACUCCAUUAUUUAGAGAAGAAAAUUGGAACCUCAGAUCUGGAGAAACGGUUUUAAUGAAGAAAAAUCGUUCAGUGUCUUUUGCAUUUGAAGAAAAUCAUCUGCACCUUUUAAAUUAUCUAAUCUAGACAUGAAGGAACGGGAGGAAAAAACUGCCUUCGGUGCUUCAGCACAUGGUUUAAAUAUGAAUGAAUGAACCUGUGAUCUGGUCCUUGUGCUAGUAAUUGUGGAUUAAUGCCAAUGUUAAUCAAUCCUUCAAAGGAGAAAAAAAGAGACAGAACUUCUCUGAGCUGUGCAGCACACAACUCGUGAUUUUCAUGGACUCCACUGUUUGUGUGUGAAAUUUGAAAUGGUUGUCACCUCUCUUUGUGAUGGUUUGAAGUGCCAGCACCAGCUGCAGAGGAAGCAGGCCAGGGAGAUGGAGUUACUUGGGAAACACCAAAUGAUGGCCGAGUAUGUCUGAAAACUGAAAUACAGAGUUUAAGAGACCCAUCCGAGGAUAUAUAACAGUUAGUGGCGGAGCUGAA
rnacentral:lncRNA from 1 species